rnacentral:misc_RNA from 1 species
AGUUUCAUCCCGAUACGGGACGAUUGAUGCCCGAGAUGAACACGCUGCUAGGUAUUAUUCUUCCCGAGGACCGAAGCGGCUGGCGUCGGGUUCUGUGGCACUUUCAGCGUCACACCCGGCUGGACGGAGCGCGGCCCGCCGAUGCUUUUCAGAAGAAUCCACAGGCCGUCAUCAACGCCGUUCGCAGCGAUUUCGGAUCGAGCGAUGAGCGGUGGUAGGGCGGGCGAGAGGGAACUUGGCGACCGAACCCUUGGUGCCGGACACCUUGCGUUCGGAUUGGGUGAUACCCACAGACCCGUGGUCGAGCGAUUGACUGAAAGACGUUCAGAAGGCGUUU